ensembl:snRNA U2 U2 spliceosomal RNA
AUCGCUUCUCGGCCUUUUGGCUAAGAUCAAGUGUAGUAUCUGUUCUUAUCAGUUUAAUAUCUGAUACGUCCUCUAUCCGAGGACAACAUAUUAAAUGGAUUUUUGGAGCCGGGAGUUGGAAUAGGAGCUUGCUCCGUCCACUCCUCGCAUCGACCCGGUAUUGCAGUACCUCCGGGCACGGUGCAAAAAAA